rnacentral:ribozyme from 1 species
UAUCCAGUAACUCCUAUCGCUACCUCCCCGUGGUGCCGCCUGGGAUACGAGUAACCGUAGUGAUGAUCGGGUGAGACCUUGGUCGUACGCUAACAGGGAAGG